rnacentral:rRNA from 1 species
UCCCUUAGAUGUCCUGGGCCGCACGCGCGCUACACUGACAUGUUCAACAAGCCUCCUAGUUCGACAGGAUUUGGGAAAUCUUUGAACGCAUGUCGUGAUAGGGAUAGAUCAUUGCAAUUAUUGAUCUUGAACGAGGAAUUCCUAGUAAACGCGAGUCAUCAGCUCGCAUUGAUUACGUCCCUGCCCUUUGUACACACCGCCCGUCGCACCUACCGAUUGAAUGUUUCGGUGAAGAUUCCGGAUAGGACUUUUUUGAUUUAUUUCAAUUUUGUCUUAAAAGCUAUCUAAACCUCAACAUUUAGAGGAAGGUGAAGUCGUAACA